rnacentral:rRNA from 1 species
UGAGCCAAGUUUAGGGUUUUCUCAAAACCCAAGCAGUAUUGAACUGAAGAGUUUGAUCAUGGCUCAGAUUGAACGCUGGCGGCAGGCCUAACACAUGCAAGUCGAGCGGAUGAAGGGAGCUUGCUCCUGGAUUCAGCGGCGGACGGGUGAGUAAUGCCUAGGAAUCUGCCUGGUAGUGGGGGAUAACGUCCGGAAACGGGCGCUAAUA